ACAUUCGUAGUGUAGGGGUUAUCAUCUGAGCUUCCCACCCAGGAAGUGCUUAGGACCCGGGUUCGAGUCCCGGCGGAUGUA
rnacentral:tRNA from 1 species